ACUUUCAGCGACGGAUGUCUUGGCUCCCACAACGAUGAAGAACGCAGCGAAAUGCGAUACGUCUUGCGACUUGCAGAAUCCAGUGAAUCAUCAAAACUUUGAACGCACCUUGCGCUUCCGGGCUAUUCCUGGGAGCAUGCUUGUCGGAGUGUC
rnacentral:rRNA from 1 species